rnacentral:lncRNA from 1 species
GAUUUACACACCUUGUUUCUAUUCAUCACGAACAGUCACUUAAGCACUCACCAACCUAUAUUCGGUCAAUCAAACACCACCAUCAGUCCUACUUUACAGUUAAAAAGAAACUUAAAAUCUACAGUCUAUUCAUAUAAUAGAGUAGCGUUACCUUCGAUCGAACCACAGUGAUCUCCACAAAUCUAGUCUUUAGCAAUUGAUUAGGAAUUCCUUGAAUCCUUCCUUAACUUUCAUACAAUUGCUAUCAAUUAUUACUAAAGGCAGAAGAAGAAAGAAAUAUUGAUUCGACAUUAACACAACCCCUCACCCUCGAUUUAAGGCGAAAAGAAAAUAGUAAAGUC